UACGUAGGGGGCAAGCGUUGUCCGGAAUUAUUGGGCGUAAAGAGCGCGUAGGCGGUCCGAUAAGUCGGCUGUGAAAGUCAGGGGCUCAACCCUUGAAAGCCGGCCGAUACUGUCGGACUAGAGUCCGGAAGAGGCGAGUGGAAUUCCCGGUGUAGCGGUGAAAUGCGCAGAUAUCAGGAGGAACACCGGUGGCGAAGGCGGUUCUCUGGGCCGGACCUGACGCUGAGGAGCGAAAGCGUGGGGAGCAAACAGG
rnacentral:rRNA from 1 species